rnacentral:rRNA from 1 species
AGAGUUUGAUCCUGGCUCAGGAUGAACGCUAGCGGCAGGCUUAAUACAUGCAAGUCGAGGGGGAUCAGUUGGGUAGCAAUACUCGGCUGUGAGACCGGCAAACGGGUGCGGAACACGUACGCAACCUUCCCAAAACUGGUGAAUAGCCCUCCGAAAGGAGGAUUAAUACACCGUAACAUAUAGAGAUGGCAUCAUUUUUAUAUUAUAGCUCCGGCGGUUUUGGAUGGGCGUGCGCCUGAUUAGGUAGUUGGCGGGGUAACGGCCCACCAAGCCUACGAUCAGUAACUGGUGUGAGAGCACGACCAGUCACACGGGCACUGAGACACGGGCCCGACUCCUACGGGAGGCAGCAGUAAGGAAUAUUGGUCAAUGGACGAAAGUCUGAACCAGCCAUGCCGCGUGAAGGAUGACGGCCCUCUGGGUUGUAAACUUCUUUUAUCUGGGACGAAAAAAGGGCUUUCUAGCUCACUUGACGGUACCAGAGGAAUAAGCACCGGCUAACUCCGUGCCAGCAGCCGCGGUAAUACGGAGGGUGCAAGCGUUAUCCGGAUUUACUGGGUUUAAAGGGUGCGUAGGUGGAUUUGGAAGUCAGGGGUGAAAUCUCCGAGCUUAACUCGGAAACUGCCUUUGAUACUCUAAGUCUUGAAUCAUCUGGAGGUAAGCGGAAUAUGUCAUGUAGCGGUGAAAUGCUUAGAUAUGACAUAGAACACCAAUUGCGAAGGCAGCUUACUACGGAUGUAUUGACACUGAGGCACGAAAGCGUGGGGAUCAAACAGGAUUAGAUACCCUGGUAGUCCACGCCCUAAACGAUGGAUACUCGACAUUUGCGAUAUACAGUAAGUGUCUGAGCGAAAGCAUUAAGUAUCCCACCUGGGAAGUACGAUCGCAAGAUUGAAACUCAAAGGAAUUGACGG